rnacentral:rRNA from 1 species
UGGAUGGACCCGCGUCGCAUUAGCUAGUUGGUGAGGUAACGGCUCACCAAGGCAACGAUGCGUAGCCGACCUGAGAGGGUGAUCGGCCACACUGGGACUGAGACACGGCCCAGACUCCUACGGGAGGCAGCAGUAGGGAAUCUUCCGCAAUGGACGAAAGUCUGACGGAGCAACGCCGCGUGAGUGAUGAAGGCUUUCGGGUCGUAAAACUCUGUUGUUAGGGAAGAACAAGUGCUAGUUGAAUAAGCUGGCACCUUGACGGUACCUAACCAGAAAGCCACGGCUAACUACGUGCCAGCAGCCGCGGUAAUACGUAGGUGGCAAGCGUUAUCCGGAAUUAUUGGGCGUAAAGCGCGCGCAGGUGGUUUCUUAAGUCUGAUGUGAAAGCCCACGGCUCAACCGUGGAGGGUCAUUGGAAACUGGGAGACUUGAGUGCAGAAGAGGAAAGUGGAAUUCCAUGUGUAGCGGUGAAAUGCGUAGAGAUAUGGAGGAACACCAGUGGCGAAGGCGACUUUC